rnacentral:rRNA from 1 species
AGUGAACGCUGGCGGGAGGCCUAACACAUGCAAGUCGAACGGCAGCACAGUAAGAGCUUGCUUUGUCGAGUUGCGAGUGGCGGAUGUGUGACGAGUACAUCGUAAUCUACUUUUUCGUGGCGCUUAACGUAGGUAAACUUACUCUAGUACCGCAUACCACCUACGGGUGAAAGCAGGGGAUCUGCGGACCUUGCUCGAUUGAAUGAGCCGAUGUCGGAUUAGCUAGUUGGCGGGAUAAAGGCCCACCAAUGCGACGAUCCGUAGCCUGUCUGAGAGGAUGAUCAGCCACACUGGAACUGCGACACGCUCCAGACUCCUACGGGAGGCAGCAGUGGGGAAUAGUCGGCAAUGGGCGCAAGCCUGGAACAGCCAUACCGAGUGGGUGAAGAAGGCCUUCGGGUUGUAAAGCCUUUUUGUUGGGAAAGAAAAGCAGCAGGUUAAUACCCCGCUGUUCUGACGGUACCCAAAGAAUAAGCACCGGCUAACUUCGUG